GGCCUUAGCUCAGCUGGGAGAGCGCCUGCUUUGCACGCAGGAGGUCAGCGGUUCGAUCCCGCCUAGGCCUCCA
rnacentral:tRNA from 1 species